GUGCUGAGUUCAACGCUGCGCUCGGUCUACUCGCAACAAUGCACAACGCCCAUCCUUGUCUCUUCCCAACGGGCCUGUGUGGGAAGAAUGGAACAAGGAGCUGUUUAAACAAAACAAAAGCAUCCCUAUACCCUGUGGCUGUUGCACCUUAAACUUUACACGUAAGAGCUGAUUUCUCCUAUGCCAGAAGCCUGAAGAAUUUCUACAAGAUCCAGAGAUGUGAAAGAUAAGAUUACACUGUAAUUGUGGGACCAGCUUUUUCCUGUUUCCUGAAGGACAGAAAGCUGGUACUUGCUGCUAACCUCAGCCAAUAUGAGAAGACAAGUUUUAUGGAUGCCCGAGAUUGCUAUAAUGCCUGUGUCAGCUCAGGACCAAGUGAUCCUCCUGAAGAGAAAUGGUUUCUUUGGCUCCUCUUGCAUUGUUCUUUUGACCAUGUUUGAAGAAAAAAAAAAAAAUUUACUGUCUUAUUUCACGAUUUUUGCAUUUAUGACUGACUUUCCUCGGUAGAAGAUGAGUUUAACCCAAAUAGAUCUGAUCAUUUAUCACAAAAGAGAUCCAACCCUGUGUAAAGAUCCCAUUGGGAGUAAUGAAAACCAAACUGCAAAAAAUGCUACAUUUCUGAAAAAGGUGACCAGAAUGCAGCUCAGAACAGAGAUGAAAGGAAAAUAAAGCAGGACCCAUUAGUAUACCCCUGGAUAAUUUGUUGUACAUAACAAGGUUUCUAACCUCCAUCUAUGGAAUCAUGGAACUGCAACAAACACUUCAUCUUACUUUCUUCUGAGUUAGGUUUAUUGGCUUAUUUAUUAGAUUUCUAUGCUGCUUUUCGUCCAGAGCUUACAGAGAUGCAUAGAAUACUCUGUCCUCUGUCCACCUGCCAACUUAAUAUUGCUUAAUAAAUCUCCAUACUUAAACUGGGUUUCCCAUAUUUUAAUCCAGCACCUUAACCACCAUGCCACUAGUCCCUUGCAGUUGGCUAGAAUUGGUUUAUUAUUACUGGGAUAUAUGUUAUCCCAGUAUAUGUGAAGUAAAGAAAUUAUGGAGGGCAGACAUGCUAGUCUAUGGUAGUAAAAAAAACCAGGUAGUAAAAAAGGUAGUAUUGUAUCAGGUAAUAAAAAUAUCUAUACUGUAGCACCUUUUAACAACUUUAUUAAAAGUUGUAUGUUUUCAUGAGCUGUAGAUCACUGCAUUAGAUGCAUAGAGUAGCUAGACUGAUGAAGGAUUUAAAUGGGGUGAAAUGGGAGAGAGGGGAAGGUAGGUUGAUUAUGCACUCACACGUGAGACAUUACAAGUACAUGUACUAUAUCAGUUAACAAUUACAAUAAAUUAAAAACUCACUGGGUUUCUUGGGAAUCUUCUAAUAUUUAUGUGAAUGGAGAGAAAGGAGAAGAUCCAUUGUUUGAAUUGUGAUUUGCUUAAUAUAUGUAGGGCAUUUUCCAUGUAUUAGAAUUUUAUUUGGGAUCCUCAUGAAAGAGGAUAUUUAUGCAAUGUUUUGUUUGUCACAAAUAGUCACAAUAUUUUUUAGAGAGUUUCUAGAGACAACUCAAUCAAUCAAUCAAUCAAUCAAGGUGAAGGUUCGUUCUCUGAGCUUAUGGGUUGGCUUCCAAAUGUUUUGUUACCAGGGUAGGUAACAUCUUCAGUGGAGUUUAGGAGAUGUCAGUGUCAGUGUUCUUCUGUUUAUAAGGGCUUCAGGUGUUGGUGUGUCAAGUGAGGGUCUAGUGAUGGGUCAAGAGUGAGUCAUCAUUGAGUCUUGUGAUGGGUCUUGUAAUGAGAUUACAUCAAGUCAGGGUCAUUGGGAGGUGAACUGCUGGUGGGGUUGUGUGGGUUGGUGCUGUCUCUGGUUGGCUGUGCCGGUUGAUUUGGAUUCUGAGGGGUUUAUAGGCUGGUUGUAGGUCAAUGUGUUUGUUGAUGGAAUCGCUUGUGGAGUGCCAAACUUUGAUGAACGCAUGAGUGUGGUGGGCAGUAGUGUGGCCGAUGAUUUUUGUGUUGCUCCAAUUGAACUAGUGCUGUUUGGUGUCGGUGUGAGUAGAGAUUAAGAAUUUGGUAUCAUGGCGUUUGACUGCCAGCUAGUAUUUGUGGGUCCUGGUUUUUAAUUGAUGUGAUUUUUGUUCCAUGCAGAAUUGGUUGCAAUGGUUAAAAUUGAUUUUGUAGAUUACAUUGUUUCUUUCAUCCCUCUGUAUUUUGUCUUUGGUUCUGGAUAGUUCCUGGCGGAGUGUGGCUGCGGGUUUGUGGACUACUACCAUUCCUAGGGGUUGGAGGAUUCUGGCUGUCAUUUCCGACACCCCUUUUGUGUAUUUCGCAAAUGACAGCCAGAAUCUUCCAACCCCUUGGAAUUACAUUGAUUACAUUUUUCUUUCAUCCUUCUGUAUCUUGUCUUUGGUUCUGGAUAAUGCCUUCUGGAUAAUUCCACACUCCACUGAAGAUGUUACCUAGCCUGGUAAUGAAACGUUUGGAAACCAACCCACAAACUCGG